rnacentral:rRNA from 1 species
GGAUGCAACUGACUUGUUGUUAACUUCGACAAUAUGAAAGUAAUUGACACAAUGAAGAAUUGAGGACAUAUAGCGGGAGCGGCGGCAGUUGUGUUUGAUGAUUGUUAUUUUAUGGCUUGUGAUUUUUUGUUAGUUAGAUUUGAACACUAUAAUAGGGUGGCAAAUAAAGUAGCUCAUGAAAUUGCUAGAGUGGCUAAAUUUUCUGAGACAAAGGAUUGUUUUGAGGAACUUAUGAACAAAAUUGUAAAUUUUCUUAUAGACGAUAUAACCAUUAUUACUAAUAAAUAA